CAAAGGAAUUGACGGGGCCGCACAGGCAGCGGAGCAUGUGGCUUAAUUCGACACAACGCGAAGAACCUUACCAGGGCUUGACAUCCCCUGACCGCGUAUGAAAGUACGUUUCACCUCGGGUGACAGGGAGACAGGUGGUGCAUGGUUGUCGUCAGCUCGUGUCGUGAGAUGUUGGGUUAAGUCCCGCAACGAGCGCAACCCUUGUCAUUAGUUGCCAUCAUUUAGUUGGGCACUCUAAUGAGACUGCCGGUGACAAACCGGAGGAAGGUGGGGAUGACGUCAAGUCCUCAUGGCCCUUAUGGGUAGGGCUUCACACGUCAUACAAUGGUCGGUACAGAGGGUUGCCAAGCCGCGAGGUGGAGCCAAUCCCUUAAAGCCGAUCGUAGUCCGGAUCGUAGUCUGCAACUCGACUACGUGAAGUCGGAAUCGCUAGUAAUCGCAGAUCAGCAUGCUGCGGUGAAUACGUUCCCGGGUCUU
rnacentral:rRNA from 1 species